rnacentral:rRNA from 1 species
GGGAAGGCACGGCAUAGAGGGUGAGACCCCCGUAUGCGAAAGCGGAAGUUGGCCGGCGGUAUCCUGAGUACCUCGGGGCACGAGCGUCCCCGAGGGAAGCUGGGGGGACCAUCCUCCAAGGCUAAGUACUACCUGCUGACCGAUAGUGCACAAGUACCGUGAGGGAAAGGUGAAAAGUACCCCGAGAGGGGAGUGAAAUAGUACCUGAAACCGCAUGCCUACAAACAGUCGGAGCUCGAAAGAGUGACGGCGUACCUUUUGCAUAAUGAGCCAGCGAGUUGCGUUUCGUGGCGAGGCUAAGCCGUCAGGUGGAGCCGUAGGGAAACCGAGUCUGAAUAGGGCAUUAGUCACGGGAUGCAGACCCGAAGCCAGGCGAUCUACCCAUGGCCAGGGUGAAGCGUGGGUAACACUGCGUGGAGGCCCGAACUCACCGAGGUUGAAAACUCGGGGGAUGAGCUGUGGGUAGGAGUGAAAGGCUAAUCAAGCUUGGAAAUAGCUGGUCUCCCGAAAGAUAUUGACGUAUCGCGUCGGAUA